UACAGAGGUCUCGAGCGUUAGGCGGAAUCACUGGGCUUAAAGCGUGUGUAGGCGGAUCGCUAAGUGCCUUGUGAAAUCCCACGGCUCAACCGUGGAACUGCUUGGCAUACUGGCGGUCUUGAGCAACCUAGGGGCGAGCGGAACAAAUGGUGGAGCGGUGAAAUGCGUAGAUAUCAGUUGGAACGCCAAUGGUGAAAACAGCUCGCUGGGGGUUUGCUGACGCUGAGACACGAAAGCCAGGGGAGCAAACGGG
rnacentral:rRNA from 1 species